rnacentral:other from 1 species
UCCUGCUUUGUUCGUGAUGCUUUUUAGAGGCUCGUCUGAGCUAACGCUAAAUCAAAGUGAGCUACGAGGUCGCGUGUUGUGCAUGCCUCUGUAUCGAGGAAGCCUGAAUCGCGACAAACAAACAGUAGCUCCACCUGCUACUUGCAGGUUCAGUCGACCUCUUCACACGGCAAAGCGGGGCAU